rnacentral:rRNA from 1 species
UACGUAGGGGGCAAGCGUUGUCCGGAUUUAGUGGGCGUAAAGAGCGUGUAGGCGGCUUUGCAAGUCCGUUGUGAAAACUCGAGGCUCAACCUCGAGACGCCGGUGGAAACUGCAAAGCUAGAGUCCGGAAGAGGAGAGUGGAAUUCCAGGUGUAGCGGUGAAAUGCGUAGAUAUCUGGAGGAACACCGGUGGCGAAGGCGGCAUCCUGGACCAACACUGACACUGAGGAGCGAAAGCCAGGGGAGCAAACAGG